CGGCUCUUCGGAGCAGUGGCGCACGGGUGAGUAACGCGUGGGAACCUACCCUGAGGUUCGGAAUAACGGCUGGAAACGGCCGCUAAUACCGGAUGUGCCCUGAGGGGCAAAGGCUUGCCGCCUUGGGAGGGGCCCGCGUCCGAUUAGCUUGUUGGUGGGGUAACGGCCUACCAAGCCGACGAUCCAUAGCUGGUUUGAGAGGAUGAUCAGCCACACUGGGACUGAGACACGGCCCAGACUCC
rnacentral:rRNA from 1 species